UUAAAAGACAAAUUUUAUAGAAUUUUCUCAUGUAAAAGUAUAUUUACAAAAUGGUCACAACUUUUUUUAUUUGUAGUUACGUAAAACUUGAAAUAGAGUUGUAAGAGUUAUAUAAUGCGAGUUCAAAUUAUUCAGGUCAAAUUGGGCAACUUUAAAAACAUCACAAUUCACAAGUGAGUUAUGGUCAAAUCAGGUGGAUUAGAGUGGGUCCACCUUUUUAUCAUGUCACAUGGGUAUCCUUGCCAUUUAUAAUUUGGAAAAAGGUUAGUGGGUUGUGACAACAGUCAGCGAUGGAAUUGUGUCUCUUGGGUUAUUUAAUCAUGAUUUGGCAAAGGGGGGGCUGCAAAUUUAGUGGGUUGUGACAACAGACUGCGAUGGUUGUCAAAGAAAAGCAUCAUCUGUUUGAUGAAUUUCCAGAGUGAUGGAAAUAUUGGUAGGAACGAUGGGGUGUCAUCAAUUUUGAACAAAUUAGUGGCUUUGGUCAAUUUGGAUCCUUAAACCGCUCUUUUGGAUACCGAAAACUUGGUUUUAAUGCAUAACACGAAUGUGAACUUCUGUUUCAUUUCUACCGGUUGUAUGCCAACUUCUGUUUCGUUUUUACCGGUUUACAUUUGGUUUAAAGCAUACUCUGUGUAAUUUUCAAUUGUAUUUUUAGUUAUAUUAAAUCCGUCUCCUUUUUAAUAACAUUUAGGGUUUUUAGUUUGUUUUGUUACCGUGUCUAAUGUGAAAUUGGGGACCAACAGAAUGUGGAGGAUUCAUCACACGAUGAGUUUACUGGCGAUGGUGUGGUUGAGGUUGUUGUUGCAUCUGUGAAAGAAACCACAUCACUAAUGUGAACCUGAUAUCAUCAUUUUGGCUGCGCCAGUUGGCAGUGCGAUGGAAAGGAAUUGUGAGGAGUUUAGGACUAUGGGAAUCAGUGAGGGAAUUUGCAAGAAUGUAUGAUGCUGGCAUGGGCAUUUUAAUUUUUACACCAAUUGCUAUGUUAUCGUGGUUCCCAUUUGUCUCCACAUUCCAGUCCCGUUUUCUGUUUAAUUAAGCAUUUAGCCGUGGACCGGUCUCGAGAUCUCUCUUAUCCUCGCUGGCAACAAGGCUAAUGUUCAUGCGUAAUUUUAUCUGGCACGUGUAUUGAUGUUUAACCCUCUGUGUUUAACUUUGUUGUAAACUUUGUAUUAUUUUUGCGUAUUUGAUGUAAAUGAGAAAACGAGACGAUGUUUAUAGGGAUCUUUGUGAAUAUAUGGUGAGAUGUAAGAUUUUUUUG